UGGCGCACGGGUGAGUAACGCGUGGAUAAUCUAGCCUAUUGGUACGGGACAACAGUUGGAAACGACUGCUAAUACCGUAUACGCUGGAAACGGGAAAGGGGGCCUCUUCUUGAAAGCUCUCGCCAGUAGAUGAGUCCGCGUUUCAUUAGCUAGACGGUGGGGUAACGGCCUACCGUGGCAACGAUGAAUAGCAGGCCUGAGAGGGUGGCCUGCCACACUGGGACUGGAACACGGCCCAGACUCCUACGGGAGGCAGCAGUGGGGAAUAUUGCGCAAUGGACGAAAGUCUGACGCAGCGACGCCGCGUGGAGGAUGAAGGUUUUCGGAUCGUAAACUCCUGUCAAGAGGGAAGAAACCUAUUAAGAAUAAUACUCUUAGUAAUUGACGGUACCUCUAGAGGAAGCACCGGCUAAUUCAGUGCCAGCAGCCGCGGUAAUACUGAAGGUGCAAGCGUUAAUCGGAAUCACUGGGCGUAAAGCGCUCGUAGGUGGCUUUGUAAGUCAGAUGUGAAAGCCCACGGCUCAACCGUGGAAUUGCAUUUGAUACUGCAUCGCUAGAGUAUAGGAGAGGGAAGUGGAAUUUCUGGUGUAGGAGUGAAAUCCGUAGAGAUCAGAAGGAACACCGGUGGCGAAGGCGACUUCCUGGACUAUUACUGACACUGAGGAGCGAAAGCGUGGGGAGCAAACAGGAUUAGAUACCCUGGUAGUCCACGCCGUAAACGAUGGGUACUAAGUGUCGGAGGCUUGACCUUCGGUGCUGUAGUUAACGCGUUAAGUACCCCGCCUGGGGAGUACGGUCGCAAGGC
rnacentral:rRNA from 1 species